rnacentral:rRNA from 1 species
CUAGUCGCACGGGCUUAGACCCGUGGCAUAUAGCUCAGUAACACGUGGCCAAACUACCCUACAGACCGCGAUAACCUCGGGAAACUGAGGCCAAUAGCGGAUAUAACUCUCAUGCUGGAGUGCCGAGAGUUAGAAACGUUCCGGCGCUGUAGGAUGUGGCUGCGGCCGAUUAGGUAGAUGGUGGGGUAACGGCCCACCAUGCCGAUAAUCGGUACGGGUUGUGAGAGCAAGAACCCGGAGACGGUAUCUGAGACAAGAUACCGGGCCCUACGGGGCGCAGCAGGCGCGAAACCUUUACACUGCACGACAGUGCGAUAGGGGGACUCCGAGUGUGAGGGCAUAUAGCCCUCGCUUUUCUGUACCGUAAGGUGGUACAGGAACAAGGACUGGGCAAGACCGGUGCCAGCCGCCGCGGUAAUACCGGCAGUCCAAGUGAUGGCCGAUAUUAUUGGGCCUAAAGCGUCCGUAGCCGGCCGGACAAGUCCGUUGGGAAAUCGACGCGCUCAACGCGUCGGCGUCCAGCGGAAACUGUCCGGCUUGGGGCCGGAAGACCUGACGGGUACGUCCGGGGUAGGAGUGAAAUCCUGUAAUCCUGGACGGACCACCAAUGGGGAAACCACCUCAAGAAAACGGACCCGACGGUGAGGGACGAAAGCUAGGGUCUCGAACCGGAUUAGAUACCCGGGUAGUCCUAGCUGUAAACGAUGCUCGCUAGGUGUGCCGUACGCUACGAGCCUGCGCU